rfam:Callithrix jacchus chromosome 6, whole genome shotgun sequence
UUUUCAGUAUAAGUAUGUCUGUUCCAUGAAAUAUUUGGAACAUACUUAUACUAAAA